CGGUAGUAGCGGCGAGCGAAGCGGGAAGAGCUCAAAUUUAUAAUCUGGCACCUUCGGUGUCCGAGUUGUAAUCUCUAGAAAUGUUUUCCGCGUUGGACCGCACACAAGUCUGUUGGAAUACAGCGGCAUAGUGGUGAGACCCCCGUAUAUGGUGCGGACGCCCAGCGCCUUGUGAUACAUUUUCGAAGAGUCGAGUUGUUUGGGAAUGCAGCUCAAAUUGGGUGGUAAAUUCCAUCUAAAGCUAAAUAUUGGCGAGAGACCGAUAGCGAACAAGUACCGUGAGGGAAAGAUGAAAAGCACUUUGGAAAGAGAGUUAACAGUACGUGAAAUUGUUGGAAGGGAAACGCUUGAAGUCAGACUUGCUUGCCGAGCAAUCGGUUUGCAGGCCAGCAUCAGUUUUCCGGGAUGGAUAAUGGUAGAGAGAAGGUAGCAGUUUCGGCUGUGUUAUAGCUCUCUGCUGGAUACAUCUUGGGGGACUGAGGAACGCAGUGUGCCUUUGGCGGGGGUUUCGACCUCUUCACACUUAGGAUGCUGGUGGAAUGGCUUUAAACGACCCGUCUUGAACACCGGACCAA
rnacentral:rRNA from 1 species